ACAGCUAUAUCACGUUGAAAUUCCGGUUCCCGUACGAUUACCGAAGUUAAGAAACGUCGAUCCUGGUCAGUAGCUUGACCGGUGACAGCUUGGGAAUACCAAGCGCUGUAAG